rnacentral:tRNA from 1 species
GCAUCGGUGGUUCAGUGGUAGAAUGCUUCCCUGCCACGCGGGCGGCCCGGGUUCGAUUCCCGGCCGAUGCA